rnacentral:lncRNA from 1 species
GAGCCGGAUCACACCUGCCUGCUGGCUUACACAGAUUCAACUAUCAAUUAUCCCAGAGGAGAGGCGUGCAGUGCAGGGCGUUGGGCCACGAAACUGAAAGCUGCUGGCGAGGCGCGUGGGGGAGGUCGAUUUCUGCGUCCUGCUGCCUCCACGCACAGUGAGAACCCACCCCGCCACUGCGUUCCUGUCCUCACAGAGAUUCUGGAUUGACUGUGCUAGCAGGAGAAGCUGGGAGUGACUUCUGAGCUGGACUGACCACUGGACGCCAAGUGAUUAUCCCUAAUGUAUUACAUGUCAUUUGCAACCCAAGCUGUCCGUCAUGUACUGGGCCAUCUGACACACUCAUAAAAUCCCAUUACCAACUGGAAAUGGUUUAUGUGGGACUAGCUCCUAACCAGGCACAUCAUUGCUUCAACUGAUUCAUGAGCAGAAGAGUCUUUGCUGGCAACACAUGAACUGUGAUGGAUUCAAUCACUUAGGCUUUCCAUUAUCAAUGCAGACCUGGCCCCUGGGUGCACAGGGUUAUCAGUGACCACCCCUGAAUGCCGCAACUGACCAGACUCCAGGGACACCAUGGACUACUUAGUUGCAGACUGAUGACUUUGGACCUCUUCCAUUAUGGAAAGGGCAGUGAUUUCUUUUCACUGAAACAGGCUCAUGUCUGACUUUGGAACUGACCUCUCUGCCUGUAGAUCAUCAUGGCAUGCUCUACAAAAUUGCUUCUGACAACGGAAUUCACUUUACAGUGAAAGAGGGAAAGCAGUGGGUGAUACCCUUGUCAAUGGAUCCUGUCACCCAGAAGCAGUCAUCUGUAUUCAGCUGUGACAUGAUUUAUUGAAGAUUUCAUUUCAGGACUGAGAGACGAUCAUACCUAAGGAGAUUGAAAUAUCGUCCUUUAAGAUGCUUGUUUGUUCUGAACUAGGGAACAUCACGUGGUGCCGUUUCUCCCACAGCCAGACUAAACAGGUCUGGAGGAAGGGGAAGUAGGCACGGUGCAACUUCCAUCUUACUUAAUGACUCUCACUCUCUUCAACUUUUUUUCCACCAAUUAGCGAUUUUAUUCCCAGGAAAGGAAGGUUGCACCAUUGAGGCAGCUGACCGUUGGGGUGGCUCCCUUUGGAAAGGGGAUAUAAAGUGUUUGUAUGAGUGAUGGUUCCAUUAAAGCAGACAUUUUUUAAAAAGGUGAAAUUUGGGGAAUUAGAGUGAAUAUAGAUGUUGAACAGAAAAAGAGUGAUAUAGCAAUAGUCUGGACAUGUGGGCUGGCCACCUGGAAUUUCACAUGCCAUUAGGUCAAAAAAGUGGGUUGACAAGGCUGGCUGCAGUGACUAGUCCUGGGAAAAUGCUGCUAUACCACGGGAGACAGGCCAGGGUGGAGGCUAUGAAUGAAACUCAAGUGGUUCUCUCAGGAGCCGCCUCCUCCUCCUCCU